CACCAACUAUGUUGGGCCCUUCUUGCUUACAAAUCUACUCCAAGGGGCCCUACAACGGGCAGGGUCAGCCCGGGUAGUGAAUGUGUCUUCCUUUCGGCAUGCACACGGGUAUGUUGAUGAGAAACAUCUGACAGGGGCUGGUAAGCCUUUGACCUUUAACCAGAACUACGACUGCAGCAAACUGCUCUUGACCUCCUUCACUGGAGAGCUUGCCCGGAGACUUCAAAGGACAGGUGUGACUGUGAACUCUGUGGACCCAGGUGUAGUAUACACGGAGAUCAUGAAGCAUUUCUCUUGGCCGUACCGCCUCUUCUUCUGGCUCUUCAGCUU